rnacentral:lncRNA from 1 species
GUCGUUUUGAGUUGGAAAACAAAGGUGAGGGGAGGUGUGUUUUAUUUAUGGGGGAGGGUUUCUUUUUGGUUAAGUUAGCUUUGUAAGGGUAGGAGAUGGAUUAGAGGAUAAUGGGCACAUAUUAGGAAUUACUGCAAAUUUUAGGAUUUCUGUUCUUUUGUUUAAAUUGAAUUGCUAUUUUCUUAAGGAAGUUGCAAACAUGGAAUCCUUGUUGUGAGAUUAGUUAUUGGGGGGACAAUAAAAAUGAUAAUAUUUCAAAGGAAAAUACUUGUGUCCGGACUAGUAUAUACGUGCGUGUCCGGACUCUCUGUUAUUUACACACUUUUGGUAAUGUAAAUCAUAAUCUUAAGUGUUCAAAAAUUUGAUUAACUAAUAAAUAUCAUCUCUGUAAAAUAUCAGUGUAAAAAAAAUCGUUUGCUUAGCCGAAUGAAUCAAAUAAAUUGACGGCUAAUCAUGAGGCUGUUAACUUUCACCAUAAGUAUUCAUUUGUUUAAUACAAUCGGGUGAGCAAACGAAUUUUGUUUACAUUAAUUUUUCACAGAGAUAAUCUUUAUUGGUUAAUCCAACUUUCGAACUGUUAAAAUUAUGAUUUACAUUGUCGAAAGUAUGUAAAUAACAGAGAAUCCGGAUGUACACGUACAUACUAGUCCACAAGUAUUUUUCUAUUUCAAAUUAGUGACACUCAAGAGACGAGGGAGAUUACUAGUUGACGAGGUUUAAGGUGAUAGUUUCAUGUGUCUCAUCUUAGAUUUCGACUAAGUUUCAUUAUUAUUCUCAAUGUUCACAGCUUUUAAAUUGCAUAUAGCUUUAAUAUGUGAAUCAUACACAUUUUCUAGUGUGUCGAUUGGUGAACAACACUCUUACAGAUUUCAUUAAAGAAUCGUUGCUCAUUUCAUUAUAGAAUAACAUGUAUCACUUCUCUUUGAAUCAUUUCGACUGUCGGCAUAAGUUUCAUUCUUUUUACAUGCUUCACAAUAAUAGUAUGAACAAGUAGACAAUUUAAGAGACCUGAACUGAAGGAGUUUGGGCUGCAUUGGACUACCUAAGAAAGCCCAUUGUUCAAUAGAAGGAAGGCCCAAGAGUGGAGCCUAUAUAAUUGAGAGCAUUGCCAAACAUGGUCUUUGCGCCUAGCCCUCUGUGUGAGUCUGUUCCUCUUUUUAACAUUUUUCUUUUAGAUUUCCAAAUUAGGUUUUCUCCUCUCUCUCUGUAAUUUCUCCUCACUAUUAGAUUUUGAUUCCACCAUUGUUGUUUUGAGGGUUAGGAGGUGUGGAUUUGUGUUUCAAACUCCUUAUUGAUAUUUCGUCUUCCCACCUGUUUCCAAAUACCGCCAAAUUUUUCUAUCUCCGCAUAAAAAAAUCCCCAAAUUGAGAAGAACAAAAGCUUUGAUUUUUAGGGCAAUCUAACACAAUUAGGGUUAGGGUUUCAAUCUCAUAAGUACAGAUCACGAAAAAGAAAGCAUCUUUUUUUAGUUUUUGUUUUUGGGCUUUCGAUUAGAUAUGGAGAAGAAGAAGGUGGCUGUGCCUCUGGUUUGCCACGGCCAUUCCCGGCCGGUGGUGGAUCUGUUUUACAGUCCGGUCACUCCCGAUGGCUUCUUCCUCAUCAGUGCCAGCAAGGGUAUGUGUUCCGAUAUCGAAAGAUUCGAUCUUUUUUCGUGUGUUUGGAUUGAAUUACAUGCUUUGGGUGGUUCUAUUUUACUCUGUACAAUGCUGCGUAUAUGUAUAUGUGUAUGAUUGGGGUUUUGUUUCGUGAUAACUUAUGUAGAUUGGUUUGAAAUCGUAAUGGAGGGAUGUUUUGACUAGUCUUUGUGAUAGUAAGUUAUGGUAGAUUAAGUAAACUUGCAAUGGGAUAUGUUCUUAGGAUAUAUAGUCCAGCUGAAAGGAAAUGUUUUGGAUCAGUGGUUUCAUGUCACGUUUAGAAACCUUAGAGCUACUAGAAGUUGAACAUUUAUUGCACUAUCAGUGUACUCAACAGUAGUGAUUUUGGGAUAUUGACGAAUAAGGUGUAUUGAGUAUAUGAGGUGUUAAGAUCAUUGUUGUGUUGUUGCUCUUUAAUGGGUUGCGAUUGGAAAUCUUCUUUAAUCUGUGUAAGUUAUUUAGAUAGCGAACUGAUAUAGAAGUUUUUGAUGCUUGUGUUGUUAGAUUCUAGUCCCAUGCUGAGAAAUGGUGAGACUGGAGAUUGGAUUGGAACCUUCGAAGGACAUAAGGGUGCAGUCUGGAGCUGCUGUUUGGAUACUAAUGCCCUAAGGGCUGCCACCGCUUCCGCAGAUUUCUCUGCGUAUGGAUUUAUCUUUUGAUUUCCCAGAUUUCUCUGCGAGUUGAAAAUGAAAACCUUAAUUCUGUUUCUUAAGUAUGUUAUUUUUGCAUGCAGUAAAGUUUGGGAUGCGUUAACAGGAGAUGUUCUACACUCUUUUGAACAUAAGCACAUUGUUCGAGCAUGUGCGUUUUCAGAGGUAAGCUCCUGUUCUUGACCUAACAGCUCUGUAGAAGUGAAAUAAACUUACAGAGUAAUCAUACAAACUGUGCUCUUUCCAUUUUCUGUAGUGUUAUCUGCUUGAAAUGUCAUGCUAAAUGUGAUAAUGUUGAAUAUUAUGUGUAAUCGACUGUGUUAAAUUCAUUUGGAGUAGCUAUCUGCCUACCUCUAAUUUGAAAAUGAUUUCCUAGUGGUUUAUGUGCUAUAUUAAGAGGGAUUCUAAUAUAGUGGUAGACUUUGAAUAUUUCUUUGGGGCUUAGUUGUUUGUUACACAUCAGCCACUAAAGUUCAUGAUAAUAUUUUGAAUCCAUCAUAGUUGGUGCAGGUUUUAAUUUCAACAGUAUAUGAGAUUUUAUGCUGGAGUUCUCCUAUAUGCCAUGCCUUUUCUUAUUUUCUUGUAUCAUAAUUCUAUUCUCUUGAUUUGGUAAUAGGAUACACACCUUUUGUUAACUGGAGGAGUAGAGAAAGUUAUCCGUAUAUACGACUUGAACAGACCAGAUGCCCCUCCAAGAGAAGUGGACAAAUCCCCUGGUUCAGUUAGAACUGCUGCAUGGCUCCACAGUGAUCAGACCAUAUUAAGUUCUUGCACUGAUAUGGGCGGUGUCAGGUAUACAUUUAUAUGAAAAUAAUUGAUGUUAUGAGGACUCAAUUGUUCUAUAUUAAGUUGCACAUAUUUCGUACUAUAAAGUGACGGGUAGUGAUUGACUGAUUGGUGAAUGUGCAGAUUGUGGGAUGUAAGAACUGGGAAAAUAGUUCAAACACUUGAUACCAAGUCAUCUGUAACAAGCUCUGAAGUCAGUCAAGAUGGUCGAUACAUCACCACUGCUGAUGGGUCUACAGUCAAGUUCUGGGAUGCAAAUUAGUAAGUUAUGAGUUAGAAUGUUCAGUAUUUUUCAGAGUUUCUGCUCAGUUAGCUUAUGCCUUUUACUUGCUUUCAGCUUUGGGUUGGUGAAGAGCUACAACAUGCCUUGCACAGUAGAAUCAGUGUCCCUGGAACCCAAGUUUGGGAAUAAGUUCAUUGCUGGUGGAGAAGACAUGUGGGUUCAUGUUUUCGAUUUCCAUACUGGUGAUGAGAUCGGUAAGUAAACUAUAACAAAAUACUUUUCUUAUUGAAUCUUCUUUGGGGUGGAUGUUGUGUGUUAAUGUCCUUGGAUUUUAUGCUGUAUUUCCAAUGCUGAAUCUUUACUCAAGCUAUUGUAUCUUGAUGCAGCCUGCAACAAGGGUCACCACGGUCCAGUGCACUGCGUUCGAUUUUCUCCAGGAGGAGAGUCCUACGCCUCUGGGUCCGAAGACGGCACCAUCCGAAUAUGGCAGACAGGCCCUUUGACUAAUGAAGAAAGUGAGGCGCAGGCAGCAAAUGGAGCUAUCGGAAAGGUGAAGCCACCCGUGGAAGAGGUCUCUCGAAAGAUUGAGGGCUUCCAAAUCUCCGACGAGGGCAAGUCCAAAGAGAAGGAAGAGGCACCGUCAGCAGCCACAGCAUCGGUGAAUGUGUGACUUUGUUCAGAGUGUCUGUCCAGAGAGUGUAUUAGCCGUUGCCCGGCACAAGUUCAGAUCUAUUCCUGGUUAAAGUACUACUUGGGUUACAUAGACAGAUGGAAACAAAUUUUUUGUACAACUUUCACUUCUGCAUUGUCGAGAUAUAUAGACUAUGUUCUUGUUACUGCUUGUUCAGACUACCUUAUAAAUGGAACUUUUCAGCUUCUUCUGGUUUAUAUUUCCUUCUAAGAAUAUGGAUCAUAACAUAUCAACAUAGCCUAAAAAUCAAUCCUUAAUUCCUAACUAGCUGACAAAGGAAGAGCAGAAUGCCAUGCUUGAAAUUAGGAUUGUAGUCUCAUUUGUGACAAUCCUAUGUGUUCAUAAUUUAAAGUUGGGCAAAUGUCAAUUUAGUACUAAUUUUAAUCAUUCAUUGUCAAAGUUGGGCAAAUGUCAAUUUAGUACUAUUCCAACGACAAUAUGUUUUAUGAGCCUAUUUGAAACCUUUUUAUGCUUAAAUAGUCAAAUUUUUAUUAAAGUCUAUUAGACUAUUUUAACAAAUUAUAUUAUUUUGAGACUAUAUUACUUCCACCGCUUAAACAUGCAUUGAGAGAAAAGACUUCACCGGAACCUCAGACUUUGGCAACUGGCCACCAGACUCCUGUCAUCGGAAUUUCUCCGGUCACCGGUAACUUGGUUACUAACCCCAGUAACUUGAUUACUGAUCCCCAAUAACUCAUAUAUUUCCCAGUCGCCGGAUUUCGGUCAUCGUAACUCGGUUACUGACCCCUAAUAAUUAGUUAGUGACGGCCUUGAACUAUUACAAUGUCACAAGUGGUUUUUUAGUAUCUUCUAAUACCUCAAUUACCAAUUAUCUUAAAAAUAAAAUCGUUUACAUCCCACCAAACUGGGAAACAUGGAAGAAGAAAUUUAUGUCCAUAGCCACUAGCUUUGUGAUAUCACACACUACAAUCACGUAUAUAUACCCACAAAAUGAGCUUCGCAUUGGGAUAUUGUCACCUACAUGUUGUGACUUGUGACUUGUGUGGAACUGUUUCGGCAUGACCACUUCCCUCUUUCAUACCCUGCCUUCUACUUUGGAUACCAUCAUAAGGCGAAACCAAAAAUUUUAAUCGAAGGGAGCUAAUGUUAGCUUGUGCUGUCAAGUUCAUCAUUUCAUAUAAAGCUUAAUUUUCUACAACCAUGACUUCGAUGACUCUAACUCUAUGAAUGUGUAGCUGUUUUAAUUUUUAUAUAUUUGUAUUUUGAAGAGAUAAUUAGCUGUUUUUGAAAGCUAUACUAUGGAGAUUGUGAGGUCGCUGCAACCAAUUUUCUGGGCAAAAGGUUCUUAAACUGCCUUUCCGCUUCAAGUCAUUUAGGCCAUUUGCUGAGGUGCACUUAUUCUAAACUAAUACUAUAUUAAUCAUUGGAGCUCAGUUUAAAUUCAUUAGAAUGUAUAUGGCUCUCUUUGUAAACCAAACAUUCACAAGUAACAAUUUUACGAUCAACAUUGUCAUGUGGUGGUUCAGGUCAAUAACAACACUGACAUGAGACUCGUACUAGAAGAUGGAUGGAUCGGCUUCAUUCUCAAUUUUCAUGCCAUAUACAUGCAAAUGCAUUUUAAGGUUGUUAGCCAUAGCUAGUACUGCACUACAAUAAUUGAUAUAGCUACCUGAUAACAGCAAAGCCACUGUGGAAUACAUCGUGUUUCCAAUUGGGUCAGAUUAUCAGUCACUACUGAACACGUUUAAUUUGCAUCUUUCGCCCAUUUCCUCACCAAUUCAGGAGACUUGACUUGUUUACAUCGUUUUGAGAAAUUAAAAUGUUUCUCACGCUCGCACAUAAAACAAGAUUCAUGUCAUAUCGAUUUACUGUAGGAGAUGAAUAUCAAAUAGUCGAUGGAUUCAUUGAACUAUUUGACGACUCGAUUUUCAUGACACAUAUAUGCAUGUGGCGGUCGCUAGUACUUGUACCUUUCUUGGUCUGGCUUAUUGAGCUCUUGUAGACAUUUUACUAUAAAUACCAAAGAAACGGAAGCAUUUCAACUCAUACUACUACCCAGCCACUUAAUCAAACCUCUCAUAUAAUUUAGCCACAUUGAACUAUGUCUCUCACCUCCGUCAUUUUAGCUUCCCAAUCCCCUCAAACCCUGAAUAAUGCCGAUACUCGACGUUCGGCUAAAUACCAUCCCAGUAUUUGGGGAGAUCGGUUUCUGUCUUAUAACAACACUAUGGUUUGUACAUCCUCGACAUUUAGCAUACAUCUGUUACAUUUUGUUAUCUGCAUGUCUGAGCCUUAUCGAUGUAUGUAUUAAUUUGUUUCUUUAACUGGCUUGUAUGUAGGAAACUAACAUGCAAGGUAAGCAACAAGUAAUCCAACAACUGAAGGAAGAAGUGAAGAGGAUGCUGAUGGCUCCGCCGGUUGAAACUGGUUUGGGAAAACUGGAGUUGAUUGAUGACAUUCAACGCUUAGGCGUGUCUUACCACUUCGAAUACGAGAUUGACCAAACUAUGCAGCAAAUUCACGAAAACCUUAAUGGCACCUAUGAUGAUGAUGACUUGCACACUUGUGCUCUUCGUUUUCGCUUGCUAAGGCAGCAUGGUUAUAAUGUUUCUUGUGGUAAUUGAGAUCUCGACAAUCCUAUUCAUUCAUUUUAUUUUGUUUUAAAUAAGGCUAAUUUUGAUGCAUUGGCAUAUGAAUAAUUAAGCAGAUAUGUUCAACAAGUUCAAAGAUUGUGAUGGGAAAUUCGACGAAUCGCUUCACCACGAUGUAGCAGGACUCCAAAGCUUGUACGAAGCCACACAUCUUAGGGUGCGAGGAGAGGAUUUUCUAGAAGAAGCACUAGCCUUCACAACCACACAUCUACAGUCGGCAGCAAAUCGUUUGAGCCCCCCGCUUUCGAAACAAGUAAGGCAUGCCUUGAAUCAGCCACUUCGGAAGGGCUUACCGAGGCUAGAAGCGAGGCACUACAUGUCUCUUCACCAGGAACUGCAUGGAUCACGUAACCAUGUUUUGCUGAGAUUUGCAAAGCUGGAUUUCAACCUGCUCCAACAAGUGCAUCAGAAAGAACUAAGUGAUAUUGCAAGGUUGAUACUAUCUGUUACCACACACAUUAGAUAGGCACCAGACAUGAAAAUUAACGUUACAUUUUUUCUCCAAUUAAUUAGAUAAAUAUGUGUGAUCAUCACUAAUUAUGUGAUUCAUCAGGUGGUGGAAGAAGUUGGACUUUGCUAGCAAGCUUCCUUUUGCAAGAGACAGAGUGAUUGAGUGCUACUUCUGGAUUUUGGGUGUCUACUUUGAACCCAAGUAUUACUUUGCUAGGAGAACCCUUACCAAAGUUAUUGCCAUGACAUCCAUUAUUGAUGACAUUUACGAUGUGUAUGGCACUCUUGAAGAACUAGAUCUCUUUACUAGAGCAAUUGAGAGGUUUGAAAUUGAUAUAUAUUUUUCUUCCCUUAUAUUAUAUUCUCAAUUUAUUCCGGACUUAAGCUUCACCACUUACCAUCGCCGUUCGUCUUCUUAUUUGCAGAUGGGACAUCUCAGCCAUGGAUGUACUGCCGGAGUAUAUGAAAUUCUGUUACGAGGCACUCUUAGAUGUUUAUGCUGAAGCAGAACAGGGGCUUGCAAGCGAGGGAAAAUCAUACCGUAUCGAUUAUGCAAAAGAAGCGGUAAUUAGUUAAUUAAGCCUCAAUUUUGCGUUUAGUAUUGUGAUUCCAAAGGUCGUUGAAGGUUAAGUAACAGUUGAUUUGCUGCAUAUAUGUCAUAGAUGAAGAGACAAGUUAGGGCAUACCAUGCUGAAGCCAAAUGGUUCCACAACAACUACACACCAACAAUGGACGAAUACAUGGAAGUAGCCCUCGUCACUUCAGCCUACUCAAUGCUAGCAACCACAUCCUUUGUUGGAAUGGGAGAUAUUGUUACUAAAGACUCUUUCGAGUGGAUCUUCAGUGACCCUAAGAUGGUAAAGGCUUCAGCAGUAGUUUGCAGACUCAUGGAUGACAUUGUAUCCCACAAGGUACUUGAAUUUGCUGCAGUAGAAAUUAUAUAUCUUAAAACACUUCCUUAGCUAAUUCUGACCUUAAUGUUCUUGGCAUGGCUAUACAGUUUGAGCAAAAGAGAGGACAUGUUGCUUCGGCCGUGGAAUGCUACAUGAUACAAUACGGUGCGACAGAAGAAGAAACCAUAAUCGAAUUUCGAAAACAAGUGAGUGAUGCAUGGAAGGACAUAAAUGAAGAGUGCCUCCACCCUACCUCUGUCAACAUGCCUCUCUUGAUGCGAGUUCUGAAUCUCACACGCGUGAUAGAUGUACUGUACAAGUCUGAAGAUGGCUACACUCAUGCUGGAACCAUACUCAAAGAUUUUGUAGCAUCUCUACUGGUAGAUCCUGUGACUGUAUAAGUGAAAACUGGGAACCUUUGUUUUAGUUCUUACAAGAUGUUUGAACUUAGUAUUGGAGUUGCAGGAGUGUAAUGUCAAAAGCAAUCCUUGUAAUCCCAACCUUUGUACGUUGGGAUCUAAUAUGUGGGUCUUAUUUUUUCAGUUGCAACUUUGAUAGUUCAUCUAAUAACGGAAAAGAAAUUCAAAGUCAUUUUGAUAAAGUAGUCUGGGGUUCACAUCCAAAACCAAUUGGCCAUGGGUGGAGUGGCCUAAACCCUUAUAAAUUCACAGGCAAGGUCCCAUAUUCCCGAUGUGGGAUUCAUAUCUCAACACAUUUUCUUUGAAUACGAACCUUUGACUUUGACAGAACAAUACGAACUCGAGCUUGUCCACGCUGAAAUCCUCCGUUGUCCACCUGCAAAACUCAAGUUAUUUUUCAUGUGUGGACUUAUUGUUGUCAGCAUGUACUUUUUCUGAGUUGGUCUUGAUUAAGUUCAUUUGGAAAUGGAAAAAUAGAAUAAGAGAUUCCGUGUAAGCAUAAGAGCUUAUGGACCACCAAAGCAUACUAGGAUAUGUAGUAAUUGGUUUUGAAUAAGAACUUAACAAGUGAGAAUAGAUAUGGAUAUGGAUCUUAGUAAAUAAACUAGACAAUAGAUCCAGCCGCGCCCUGCUGUGAUUCAAUAAUUCGAUUACUUCGGUCACUGGUUCAUAAAGAGUUCAUUCGAAAUUGUGUUUACUUUUGUUUACCUUUCCUAUACAAAUUUCAUCUACUGAUAUCCGUAGGAAAAACAGACUUGUUAGAAUCUAAAAUUAAGAUUCUCAAAAUGACUGGAGAGACUGUACCACAUGUCAAUGAAAUAAACAACUCAAAUCUCAUCAAAACCAUUUAAAUCAAGGCCAUGUUAGUCUCUUAAAAAAGAAUUUGAUCACUUGUCUUGCUAUUUGUUUAUAUGUUGAAGCAAAAUUUACGAUUAAGUUACGAAUGCUUAUCUAAGACCCUAAAACAUGGUUACUGCCAACACAAACUAACAUAUUCAAAAGAGCAUAUCAAAUGGUAGCUGCACAUUAGAAUUUGAGGGCUGAUCUACUUGUAAAUUUCAGUUCACUAAGUAUUCAAAUCCCUAGUAUUUUGGAAAAAUGCAUCUGAAAAGCCAAGAAUAAAAACCUAUCAAAAAACUUGAUAGAAGGAGAGGGCAAUGACCUCAAAAUAAGGGUAGAAUCCCACUCUCACCAUUGACUGAACUCUUGGGAUAGUAGAUUCUCACUGAGCUUUCUACUUUGUGACUGCUACUCCAUAUUCAACCUCCAUUCUGCAAAUUCAUGAGCGACUUUCAUAUGUUCUUGCUGCAGAGAAUAAUUGAGUUUAUAGUUAAAAUCAGAGUGACCAAGAAGUCGAUAAGGACAACAUAAUAAUUUUCUAAUGAAAAAAGGAUGUUUACCUUAGCAUUUUACUCUCAGAGGGAUCCUUUUCCUCCAUAAUUUGGAGAAGACCUUGCCACCAAACCAGCUCAGUUGCCAUUAGCUACAGUAACAGAAUCACAUUCCAAUGCUCCCAAUUCUAAGCAGAUGUUAAUGGAUAAAAGCAGUCGUCCACCAGCACUGACAAACAUGCAUACAAAUAGAAUAAGGGCAAGAAAAAAAAAGUCAAACAGCGAAUUCCAGCCAUCACAUUCUUAAACUCCCUUUUAACAAAAUGACCACCUUUUCCCCUCAAUCAAUACCUAAGACCAAAAUCAUGUAAUUUUCUACGGUAUGUGAUACCACCACAAAACAUAAAUCUAAAUACCUUGAUGUCAAUAUAAGCUACUGUUCAAUAAAUGAGGCUGCAGCUGCCAACCGAAAUAGAACCAACCACACAGCAAGUAGCAUACCAACAAAUACUACAAUCACAGGCACACAAAUUAAAAAUUCAUAAAACAUAAAUAUCCUUUAGGUAACCAAACAUGAAAUACAAAUGUCACAAAACAGAGAUUUAGGAUCAUUGCCAGAAACAAAAAUCAUGUAAAAAACAAUCACAGAACACAACUUGCAGACAGAAUACCAACACAUACAACAGAUGGAUCGCAUCUUUUAGGAUCCUCAACAUGUAUAACCCAAUUUAUCAUUACCCAGAAACAAAAAGCGUCACUGCACCGUACCACCACAACAGUUAAUAGCUACAAAAACCUUUAGGUUCUAAUAAGCCAAUUUUGUUCUCAAUAGACAAUUAGAACAUGACGUCGCUAUGCUUCCAUAGUUCCAAAUGCAUAAAGUAUGCCAGGAGAACAUCCCAACUUGAAUUUUGUGGCCACAAAAUUUAGCGAAGAGAAAAAACUGCUAGCUUUCUAUAUACACACACACAACAUCAGGUUAUGCAUAUAAUCGCUUGCCAAUCAAAAAUUGUAGAAGAAAUUUUGCUAAAAUUGUAAGGAGGUGUGUAUGCCUUAGUAUAAUAAGGAACCCGACACACUUGACCAUAAAGCAUAAGCUCACAUCAGAUUCCAGAAACGCAAACAAUCCAUUGACAGAACAAUUGUUAUAUAAAUGUACAAAGAUAUCACCCACUGCUGAAAAGAUAACAACUGAACUUUGGUAUUAUAUUCAAUAUUUGAAUGUACUGGCAACUUCACAUGCAUCCCAUCUCUUUUCAUUUCAUUGUUAACCUUUAAUUUCCUACAAACCAUGAAACCAUAACGAAAGCAUGGAUGGUAGCAAAAUAACUUAUUGAUGAGCACCGAAGAUCAGAUGCUCACCACGAUUUAUCUAGCUUAUCGAAGAAGUACAAACCUUCCAGAUCAGUAAUACACACAUAGAAGAAUAACUCCACAAAAUUUCAAGUCAAAACGGAUUCUUACAUCCUAAUCAAACUCGAGUUCAAAACAGCAACACUGCAUAACAUAGACACAAUUUCAGCAUAGAGCACUCAACUUCAGAAAAUCACUACAAAGCGCCUACCCUAUCAAAUAGUAUCAAACUUUCUAGAUCAAGAGUUCACAUAUGGAAGAAAAAGAGUACAAAGUUUCAGAGCAAAUGGAGUCCUAAAUCUUGAUCAAAAUCAGACUCAAAAACAGCUGCACACAUAACACGAAUACAAUUUCAAACAUGUGAACAAAGUACAAUGAAGAAAGAUGUAUACACUGUUCCUUGUCCAACCCAUUUUGCCCCGCAGCAUAAUAGGAAAGCCAUGUGCAGUACUUUUUAGUUUGGAUAAGUUUAUGCCACACAUCAUAAUCCUUUUAUUUUAAGGAUCCUCUUCAUCGAUGUAGAAUCAUGUAUCAAUUCAAUCCAAUUCGAUCAAUUCAAUCUUAUUAGUGUUUAACAUGCAUCCACAUCCACAUCAAAGCCAAAAAUUGAAACCUUGAAAUGAAUAAUGAACCCCUCCUCUUCAUUGAUGUAGAAUCGUUGAGCUUCUGAAGCUCAUAACCUGCAAAAUCACCUUGUUCUUGUUGCCAAACCCAAAUUAAUUUUCAUCAGUCCCUCUCUAUCAGUAAGACACCGUAGUGGAAAGAAAAACAGUCGCACAGUGCGACGAAAAAUAGUAUGUUAAAUCCUCAUUGGACUAAUUGGAUAUGGUCAACUUAACCUUUUGGAUCAGAAUACAAAUAGAACACAAAAACCAUGGGUCGGUGGUAUUGUAAAUUGAAAGAAAAUAGAGGGGUAUAUAAGUCAAAGUGGGGGUGAAUAAGUACCCAAUGUAUCUAACCAUCCAUCCAUCCAAACCAUUAUUUUUUCUCUCUCUAAAAAUAUCUGGUUUUCUCUCUCUAGAGAGGUCUCUGUAAAUCGUCUGAAUCAAAAAGAUCAAAUCUUUGGGUUUAGUUUUUUUUUUUUUUUUCGCGGGAAGAGAUGUCAGGUAAAGGCGCCAAGGGUUUGAUUCAUGGCAAAGGAGCCAGCAACAGCAAAGAUAAGGACAAGAAGAAACCCACCUCCCGAUCCUCACGAGCUGGCCUUCAGGUGAUUACCUUUGCUUCUUUGUUCUUGUUUUUUCUUGAUUUUGGGAUUUUAGGGUUUCGAAUUUGAUUGUUGAGGUUGAGUUUGGGGGGUUUAAUUUGGUAAAGAUUGGAACUUUUUUUGGUUUUGGUAUUGGGUUUUGGUUUGUUUUGGUGAUGAGAAAGCGAAUUAGAAUACCCACAUGGGUUUGGGAACUUAAAAGAUUUAGUUUUUACGGAUGAAUAAUAGUUGUUGAAUUGAGAGUUGAUUUGGAUCGUUUUGGAAGGGCAUGAUUUUGUGUUUUUUCCUUAAACCAUGUUUGUUAGGAGAACCAUAAUCCGAUUGAAGAGUUUGAACUUGAUAGAGAUUUGAUAGAUAGAUACAUUGGAGGGGUGAAUUUUGAAGUUUGAAGUGUCUCGCUCCUCUGGAACAUGCUCUAUUCUAGAUUGUUGUUUACAUUAUGAAUUUUCAGGGUAUAACUGUUUCGAUAAGAUUGUGGAUGUCUAGAAGACUAGAAUAGACUAUGCUUGCUCUAUGUGUCUUGGUAAACAUGAUUGAGUCUUCCUACUCAUAGUAAACAGUUUAAAGUUUCUAAAAGUCCUACCUGAAUCUGUUAGAGAAGUACCAGCUAUACAAUAGAAAUAAUUUCGGUAUAUGAUGUUGAUUACAUAAGUUGUUGGAAUGAUGAUAAACCUACUUAUUUAUAUGAUGUUAGAGACGGAGGAUCCUAAUUAGAUACCUGCAAUCUCCCAAUUAUUAACUUUCAUGAAUAGACUCUCUAGUGGUGAGGGAACGAAGGGUUUGAAUGUAAGAAAGUAGAAACUUCUUAAGACUUUCAUUUAAAAACAUAGCUUCAGCCGUAUGUUAUGAACUUCCAAAGUGUUUCUCUGUCUCACUUUUUGUCCAUUAUUUUCAAGUCAGUUUAUGGACUAUACUAGAGUUGUUGAAUUUCUGCCAUCUACUAAUUCUGUGGUGACAAAUUUCUAGUUCCCGGUGGGUCGUAUCCACCGUCUCCUGAAGCAAAGGACCACAGCUAAUGGGAGAGUGGGAGCGACUGCUGCAGUUUAUUCUGCAGCUAUCUUGGAGUAUCUAACUGCUGAAGUUUUAGAGUUGGCAGGCAAUGCCAGCAAAGAUCUGAAGGUGAAGCGUAUCACUCCCAGGCAUUUGCAGCUUGCAAUCCGUGGUGACGAAGAACUUGAUACUCUGAUAAAAGGUACCAUUGCUGGUGGAGGUGUCAUCCCUCACAUUCACAAGUCACUUAUCAACAAGUCCACCAAGGAGUAAUGAUGAGGGCCAAAAUUCUAUGAGGAGACUCUCCUUUGUGACUUAGGAUCAUGUGUUUUAGUAAUUCGUUAUUUUGCUAGUUAAUUUUCAUGUCUGAUAGUAUUUGUAAUGGAUAAUGGGAUCAGAAACUCUUCUUUUUUAUUAUUAAUCUAGGCUUACUCUAGGAACCCUGUCAUAAUGUCGUAUUGCAUCCCUGGUAUUAAAGGCGUGUUUGAGCUACAAUUGUUGUUUUUCUACCAUUCUAUUUUACAUGAAUUCAGUUGAUGAUGGCAUAACUGCUCUCAAUCGAAGAUGCGGUUCUUUUUAUGCUGCAAGGUGAAAGGUCUAUCUUCAUGUUAUUGACAUAUGUUUACUCGAGUAGUUUCCAUGAAUCAUCAACAGCAGUCAUUUGUGAAAGAAGAUGGGAACAGGUUUUAGUUCCAACAACCUAUUAAAGAUCUGAAAGGCGCGAAUUCAAUUGAAUACUCAUAAAUCCAUGUCCUUCUCAAUAUUCACUGCACAUUCCUCUUAAUCAAUACAGAUAAACAACCAUUAGCAUUAGUAAAUAAGUGAAAAAUUUCCUGCACUCCAACCUAAAACCACCAAAUAAUCUGCGCUAGAAGCAAUGAAAGUCCUUCCUAGAACCUUAAACAUGGAAAAGAACGAAAACCAAUUCUAAACUUCUCAUUAAGAAAAAAUAUCUAGCAAAAGCCACCAAAAUGGUAGUGGCGUAAGAAUGGGGACGACCAACUUAGAAAUUUAGAAGGUUGUCACUCUUGGAACAUCAACUGGGAACUGAUCAAUUUCAGCCAUCCACGGGCUCUUUUCCUUGGCAGGAUCUAUAGUCUUGAGAGCUUUCCACACAGCACUGUUACACUUGAAUCCCGACCCGAAAGCUAUCUGCCAUGUUCUAUCUCCUUUCUUAAUCCUUCCCUUUGCUUCUGUGUAAGCUAACUCAUACCAGAGAGAACUGCUUGAGGUGUUUCCAAAUCGGUAUAGUGUCAUCCUUGAUGGCUCCAUAUGCCAAUCAGACAGAUGCAGGUUCUUCUCCAAUUCAUCCAAGACGGCUCUUCCCCCAGCAUGAAUGCAGAAAUGGUCAAAAGCAAGUCUGAAAUCUGGGAUGUAAGGUUUGAUCUUCAUCUUGAACAGUUUCCUACCCACCAAUGUAGCAAAGAAAAGCAGCUGCUCGGACAUUGGAAGAACAAGAGGCCCCAGUGUGGUGAUAUUGGUCUUCAAAGCAUCACCUGCUACAGCCAUCAGGUCCUUCGAUAGUGUGACACCAAUAUGCCCAGCAUCAUCUUCUUCUUGAGUAACACAGCUAAAGCACUUGUCAUCAGCACCCUUGUGCGUGCGGACAGUAUGGACUAAUUGGUACUUGGACCUCCUUCUGUCUGAGUUUUUGUUUGAAAGAAGUAUAGCAGCCCCUCCCAUCCGGAAUAAGCAAUUUGAAACAAGCUUUGAACGAUCAUUGCCAAAGUACCAGUUCAAUGUAAUGUUCUCCAUGCUGAUAACCAGCGCAUAAGAGUUAGGAUGCACCUGAAGAAGCUUUUGAGCAAGAUCAAUUGAGAUGAGCCCCGCGCUACAUCCCAUUCCACCAAGAUUGUAGCUGACUAUAUUCCCUCGAAGCUGGUAAUGAUUGAUAACCAUGGCAGAAAGAGAUGGAGUUGGAUUGAACAAGCUGCAGUUGACAAUCAAGAUUCCGAUGUCCUUGGGUUUUACAGAUGUCUUGGCAAAUAGCUCGUCAAUGGCACCAUACAUCACUGCCUCAGCUUCUUUCCUGGCUUCUUUCAUUGACGGAUUUGGGGGAAUGUUAAGUACAGCCUCUGGAAGGUAUGUUGAAUCACCAAGGCCGGAUCUCUCAAGGAUCCUUCUCUGGAACUGUAGAUUCUCUUCUGUGAAUGUACCAGUCAUCGUAGACUGAUCCAUGAAAAUCUUUUUCGUGCAUUUUCGAGUUUCUUCUGGCUUGUAACAAGAAAAGUUAACAAGGUACACAGGGCGAGGGCGGGUAAGAAAGUAUACAGUGGAUAGGAACACCAGGAGGGUCGAGCAGAUGAUCACCGAAAUCAGGUUGUAUUGGAGAUGCUCCCAUAGAUCAUAUAGAUCUUGGAGCGAAAAUGUGGAGAGCUGGGCAGCAAUAACAAUGACAAGAGGGGAAAGGAAAAGGUACAUUCCAUGGGUGAUGAGAAUAUGGUAACCAAGCUUCACAUAUUUUAGCUUAAUGGAUUUUUUGAAGUCGGGGAGGUUCCUAUUGUUUGAGGGUCUAGAUGAUGGUGGGAUCAAUGGUGUAUCUGGUUUUGGUUCCGCCAUAUUUCCCUGAUAAACAUACAACACCUCUAAUCAGAUCAAAUGCACAACAAAAUCAUAAACCAAUGUAUUAAUAGAAAAUUAUAAUCACAGAAGAUGAACUACCAGAGACUAAAAAUUAAAUUAGUAAAGGGUGGUUUUCCAGAACAUAAAGGCAAAUUCCAAUAGCUUUUCAAUUGGCAUCCAACCAGAAAUGACUCUUGGAAAGCCAAUGGAGCUUUUCAAAAAAGAAGGUUGUCUAUUAUUUACAGCUACAUAUCACACUGAGAUAAUGAAAAGGCAGAAAGAACACCUAAUGGUCCCAAUCCAAGCACCAAUUCAAAAAUGGUGGAACAGAACAAAAGCUACACACUUUGAUCCUUACAAGUUGGAGCCAAAGUGCUAAACACAAUCCAAACACAACCCCAGAUCAGAUUUUUCCAAUAAAGAACACUUCUUUCCAAACAAAUCAGCAGAUUAACAAACAAUGUUACACAACCCUUAUAAACACUCACACAAAGAACCAAACUUUAUCACAGAAACCAUACAAAUUCACACAUCCAAGAACAGAUCAAACCUCCCAAGAUACAAAACAGAACGUUAUAGAAAAAAGCUGCAAGCUUUGAUAAUGAGGCAAAACCCAGAUCGAAGACUGACCUUGGUUGCCGAAACCCACCACCAGAUCUCACAGGAAUGUCGUCGUCGCCAGCCAAAGACAACCGGAGAGAAACAGGGCAAAAGGGAAUAUGGGAGAGGUUCAAAGUUUGAAGUGAGAUUAUAUUAGAGCUAAAAAUAGGGANNNNNNNNNNNNNNNNNNNNGGCAAAUGCAUUUGCAAUUUUGGGUUUUAGAUAUUUUCUUUCUUCUAUUUUGUGUGUGUUUUCAUUGCUUUUUUCUCAUUUAAGAGGUUGAGAAUAAAGAUGUAGGAAAUCAUUCUAGUGAAGACCCUUAAGUUGAGGAUUUGGUGAGGGCUUUUCGGUUUAUGGUUUAAAAUACCCAAUUUUCGAUCACAUGUUGACAUCUUAUCUGUUCAGUUUUUAGGUUUAUAUGAGUAGAUCAUUUCUACAAAUUUUCACCCAAAUUGGUGUUCAUUAAGAUAACAAACUAGAUCAAAUUAAUGGACGAACCAAAUCUGCCAAAUAUGAACCGUUCAAGUUCAUAAUUGAUAAAUCACACUUAUGAAUGUCUUAACAAUUUUCAAUAUAGCUGAAAAUUUGAAGAAAUGAUAUACUCAUAAAUACCUAUAAACUGAACGGUCAAUAUGUAGAUAUAAGAUCGAAAUGUGGGAUAAACCGAAAAGUCUUUACCAAGUCCUCAACUUAAGGGUCCUCACUAGAAGGGCUCCCUAAAGAUGUAUACCAAAAAGAUAUCAACUUCCAAGUCUGUGUACAUGAAUCAUGUGCCAAUAUUUGUGUGAUAUACAUCUUAUCGGGUUGCAUUAGCUUUCAAGGUCUCUAUGGAUUGUGAAUCGAAAUUUACUCUUAUACAGUUAGUUGUUAGAGUUUAUUGUCUCAUGAAAAUUGUAGCGUUCGAAAAGAUACCAUAAUUUCAUGUCUAGACCCGUUUGGAGAUUUACUACUAUGAAACUCGCAUUCAUCCAAAGUACAGAAAACUAAAAUUUAGAAAGAAAAAAAAAACACCCUCUAGCCUCUGGUUUAUAUGUGGAAAUAAUACCUCCAAUAUUCUUCCCUUUAAUUUUGCUUUUCAAAAUCAAGGUGACAAUACAAAUGGCAUGAUGAUUGGAAAAGAAAAUGUCAAAUUAUUCCCUCUUUGAAUAUGACAAGUGAGAUUGAAGAAGAGUAUAGUGAAAUACAACAAAAUCGAGCCGCCCAUUACAGUUAAGGAGCCGUCAAGAACAAAGCCAGAAGGCUUAUAUUAUAUUUGACUGGUAUACAAUUCAGUGAAUUGGUAAUGUUGUAUAGGGCAGGCAAUUUGAGGAGGGACCAAGCACGAGGUUGAUGACCAGUUGUUCACAUGGAUAUAAAGGUUACAACUCUGUCACUGUCCCUAUUGUCAGCUGCGCUGGCUCCACAUGCUAUGCUGUUCUUCAACUCAAUCCAUGAGCUAUAUCAUCUUCUAAUAACAGAAACAACAAACCAACUUCAACAAUGAAGAAAUUUCCAAGUCUGUCUGUUUAGCAAGAUUUGACAAACUGUUUUAUGAGGAAAUGGUGAGGGUGAGAUGGAAUCUGGGAGAGUUGAAAAGGAAAUGUUGCCAACAAAUUUAUCUUGUGGGGUUAAGUUGGCAUCAACCAUCAAGCAUAAUUCCACCUUUGAUCAAACUUGGUUAAAGAAAAGCAAACUCUAAUACAGGAAAAGAAAUCUUACAGUAGUAACUUGCUGUUGGAGAACAAUGAUAUGAGGGAAAGUUAGUUGAACAAUAGGCAAUGUUGAACAUGCUACUCCAAUGUGAAUUCCUCCAGCCAUAUCAGCACUUCAUUUCUCUAAAAUGCAGUCAGCACCAAAACAACACAAAAGAUCAACCGUUAGAGUGAAGAAAGCAAAAUUCGGUAGGAUUUGGCAAAAAGAGGACUAACAGUACAAAUAAAAGCUUAAUGAUCAAGAUUACUUGCUACUGGUUUUGCUUUGUCUAGAAGGCAGUAGAAGUAACAGCUACCAAGACUACUACAACUAGGGCUAGUAAUCAGGCCAAAGUCGAGUUCAACUUUUCUUGAAAGAGGGUUGCUUGCAGUACUCAUAGACCUUCAAUAUGUGAAAGGGUAGAUAUAUAUCUUGUAACUUAUUAGAUGAAGUUUCAACAGUUGAAAUUUUCUUAGUUGAGGUUUUCUUGAAAACAGGUUUUCUUGCAGUUAUUCCAGAGCUUCAAUGUCAAAGGUAGCUAGAUAUCUUCCAACUUCUUGGAUGAAGUUCCUAUAGUUGGAAUUUUCUUUGGUGAAGAAUUUUCCAUCUUGAAGUUUUCUUUGAUGAAGUUUUCUCCAUAUAUCAUAUAAAAUUAGAGAUAUAUAAGAACACAUUAUCAGACUGGUCACUGAUGUUACAUACCAUUAUAAAGCUCCAAGUUCGGCCAGGGUCAUUGUAACGAGCAAGCAUACACCCGGCCUUAGGUUUGAGACCAUCUCUGAUAAGACUAGCACGCAGCAAAUUCUCCUUUUCACGAACAACAUCUUCGGUAGGCUUCCCACUAAACUUGAUAACAGCAGCAAUGCCUUCUUCCAUUUUUUUCAAGCUAAUUGUUUCUGCAUUAGGAUCUGGUAAACUGGCCACAUCACAUUUUUCUUAUUAAUAUAUAACUCUUCACAAGGACAAAUGUAAGUACGAUAUAUAUCUAACAUCUAUUAAUUCUCCACCUGCUUAAAUCCUUGUCAAGUGGAAGACAUACUUUGAUGGAUACUUUGGAAAAUUCAGCAUCAGAUGCCUCAGUGAACACCGGAGUUGUCAUUGGUAUCUUUUCCAUUUUUGAGUUCUUUCCAAAGAUGUACCUAAGCAAAUCCCAUUUCCAUAUCACAAAAAGAAACAAAAUUUUUUUUUUUUAAAGAAAAUAUAUUUAUAGCACAUGAUUAGCUAAGCUGUAAUGCAAGCACUCACCCAGUAACAUCAUUGAAACCAGCUGAUCCAGACAGCUUGUCUGCACUUCCUUCUACCACUAUAAAAGGGGAGUACUUUCUUACCUGUAGAAUCAAUCCAGGAAUCACCAACAAAACAGUAAAACCAUCCAAUCAAAUAGAGUUACAGAAGAAAACAAAAACCUUCAAAUGUAAUGCAUUUCAUUCAUGAUUCAUCAACUUUAGAGAAUGAAGUCUAAAAGCCCAACUUUUAAUGAAUGCAACAUUAGCCAUUCACUAAGGAGAACACACCUCAUAAUUUGCUGUUCUCUUUAGUAUGUCAUAUUUUGGUGUUUCCAAGUCUGGAGUUUUGUAAAUCCUCAGCUGCAGGGUUUUACAUACAAGAAGAGACUAAGGCAAGAAAGAAUCUUUAUACAUGAUAAUGGAAAGUGUAUAAUGAGUCUGCCAAUACCUGCUUGAAUACAUCUAACAAACCUUCUACAGAAAAAUAGUCAUUCUUCUUAAUGGAAUCCCAGAAGUCCUACAUGUACAUUACAGCAGAUACAUGAACAAUUUUAGAAAUUACGCUGUAUCAUCUACAUUGUACUAUAAAGAGUCAUGAGGUGAAUGAUUGUUACCACAUGGCUGCAGAACUUCCCAGUUUCGGGGUUGAUUCCCAUAACAGAAGUACCAGUGAAGAUCAAUUCUGGUUUCCAAGGCAGAGGGACGAACUUCAUAACCAUAGUCCACCUUGUAGUGAUUUCAUAUGGUCCUGACUAUAUAGCAUCUUAAUCAGUAACUUAAGACAGUCCCACUCCAAUUUCAAGUGGACAUCCACAUGAAUAUGCACAGAUUGAAAACUUUAAACUAAAAGUUUGAGUCUGCACUCAAAUUUUAUUUCCUCAUAUUCAACAUAGUCACAUUAACCUCAUCCAACAUAUAUAUGCAGCUAUGCAUCAUCCAAAAUUCUAAGUUACAUAAUUUCAUUCUAUGAAAAUCAUUGAACUGCACCCAGUUAAAUUCUUAUAUUUAAUUACUCAAUGCCUAAAAUUCCCAAUAUUCUAGUAGUUAAUCUAAUAAGGGAAAGAACACAGGUCCUUUAAACAGUUACCUGUUUUACCCAGUGCAACUGGAACUUGGGAGUGAAGACUGUCUUCAAGAAGGCAAUGUUCAACAAAUAGCCAGUUAUAGAAUCAUGCUUGGUGAUUGGAUCCCUGAACUUCACACGUUCAUCAUACGCCGUCCGAUCAAUUCCUUGAUCAUCAAACAAGUGAACUAAAUCCUGGUACAGAAAAUCGACCACCCUUUCCAUGUCGACGGUUGAUUUUGGCGGGCUUUGGUCUACUAAGCUAAGUCUAACAGCCCACUUUGAGUAGUUUUGCCUUGUUUGAAGCCCCAAGUGUUUGUGUUUCAAGGCUUUGGAACGUGGAUGGCAUGGUAGUUUAUUCGCUUUGGUGGUGCUCAGCCGCCGUAAACUGACGCACACGGCGGGGAUAGGCCUGAAAACUUGGUCGGAAAGCUGUGUGCUAGCCAUUUGGUGGUUGUGGUGGGCGUGUGACUGUGUUGGCUUGGUGCGUGACCAUGCAUUGCUACUAUGAAACAACUUAGCCACAAGUAUUGAUUGGUUGGUGUUCGUUUCUGAAAUUAGUGGCUACAAUUUCUUCAUGUAAACAUAAUUGAAUAGUAGAACUCGUCGUUUGUAAAUACCUUAUGAAAAUGAUAAGGAGAAACACUAGUAUCAUUGUCCUGCAGAUAUGACUUUAAGCUAAAUUCUCCAUUCUAUGGUAGACUAGCACAGUAUUGCAGCACAAUUUCACACUCUCAGUACAAGACUUUACUGAUGAGAAACCCCUCUGUAUAUUUGGCCAUCCAUGAACUUCAAUAUCAUAACUAAUCCAAAACAUAAACACCAAAUAAGUGACCAUUUCCCAUCUCCUAAAUCACACAUUGUGCAGGAGAAAGAUGAAAUGAAGGGCAAGAUUCCUCCUGCCGUAAAUAAGUUGGAUAAGUGAGGGCAUCAAGGACUUUUUCAUUUGCUAAGAAAUUAAAAUGUAGCUGGCUUAGUAUAGAACCCUCUUGUUUCCCAGGGUUCUGACAGGAAUCACAGGAUUAAAUGGCAACAGCCCUCCCUCAGUCUCCCACUCUCAAGACUCCUCUUUCAGGAUGUGUGACGACGAGUGCUAUGAAGGUAAGUCUCUCUUGACCUCUGCAUCCACCUCUAAGCUUGGUUUGUCCAUUUCUAAUGUCAUCACAAAAUGGCUCGAAUCCCUACCCGAAGAAAUCAUACCCAACAUCCUAAUCACACUACCUGUCAAAUCCCUCAUCAGAUUCACCUCUGUCUGUAAAUCUUGGGAGUCCACCAUCAAAAACCCAAAAUUUAUCCACACCCACCUCACCCACACUCUCAAUUCCAAUGACCAAAACGACACCCACCUCAUUCUCUUCCACGAUGUUCAUAGUAAACAUUUCUGUCACUAUCCUAAGUACAAGAAGCCUCUUUCUCUCUGCAUUAUGAUUACACUGCUGCUGUUACUGAGUAUUGCAAGAUUGAGUUUCCAGUAGCUAUCAAGGAAGCAGUCAUGAAUGCUUUUCGUGUUGUGGGUACUUGUAAUGGGCUGGUUUUGCUGGCUGAUGAUUUGGAGGAUUACGGUUACACCUUUGUUGUAUGGAACCCUAGUAUAAGAAGGUAUGUGACCCUUCCCAAGUCCACUAUGAGGUUUUCGAGGCAAGGUACGUAUGUUGGUCCGGUUGGUCUGGGUUAUGAUGCUGUUGGUAAUGACUAUAAGGUUGUGAGACUUACCACCCUUUUUAAGAAAGAGAAUCCUUGUCGGCCUGAUAUUUGGCCCACUUCAGUUGAGGUUUAUUCACUCGCCAAGGGCAUUUGGAGCACGGUCAGUCCUCCUCAAUGUAUUGUUCUUCAUUACUCCGCUGCUCAGGUUUUCGUCAAUGGGGCACUUCACUGGAUGGCUAAGCAUUGCCAUUGGAUAGAUGAGAUGGUACAUAUAGACUCUUUCAUUUUGACAUUUGAUGUGGCUGCUGAGUCAUUUGGAGAGAUAAUGUUGCCCAAGGGCUUCGAAUCAGAGGAGGCACAGUUGUCUACGUUGUCUGAUUCUGGAGAUAGAAAUUCUAUUGCUCUGUUUGUGAGGAAUGAGGUUCCGGGUGCUUUUGGUCUUGAAUAUUGGGUAAUGAAAGAGUACAGUGAGGAGAAAUCAUGGACAAAGUUGAUGGUUUUUGGUCCACAUGAUCGGUGGAUAAAUGUACCCAGGGUAUUGUGUUUUAGGAGGAGUGGUGAAGUGAUGUUGUUACUUAAGGAUGGCCAUACAGUUUCACUUGACAUUGUGAGCGAAGAAUUUAAACAUCUAGGGAUGUAUGGAGGGGACCUUAGCUCUGUUCACUCUUAUGAAGAGAGCCUUGUCUUGCUUGAAAGGAAAGAUGUUGUUUCUUACUGAGGCAAUGAACCAAGUAAGGUGAUUAUUUCUUGAACUUACCUUUGCUGAUAGCUUCUAAUUUUAAUGCAUAUGCUGCUAAUUGUAUAUGAUCUAUGACGAUUGGAUUUUACCUCAGCCACAAAGUUUGAUAUUGUGUAUGCUGAUUGCUUUGAUUGCUCUGUGCGUCAUGUAUUAUAUUUUUUCUUUGCCACAAGUUUGUUGUUCGUGUCUUUCUGGUGUUUCGUUAGGAACUUGCUAUAAUAUUGUUUUAAAUGUUUUCCUGUCUUAGCUAAUUGUCUUUCUUGUUCUGUCGUUUUGAGAACAGAGACUAGUAACCAAGUUGAUUAGAAAUCAAGCAAACCAACUUCAGAACAAUUCGCUGUACUUUAUGUUUGGAAAACAAGACUUAAAUGAGUAACUACUCAUAUCAUAUCAUUGCUUUCUCCGUGUUUUCUAUAAUAUCUGUUUGGUAUUACCUUAGACAGUAGAGUGUGGUCUCCAAGGAACUGUUGAGGCUACUGCAUUGUAUUUGAAAUUACAUGUUUUUAUUUGCUGUUGUUAACUGACCAUAUUAUCUCUGUCGAUGAUGUGUACUUGUCACUUUGAAUCGUUCCCAACCAACCAUAUUAUCUGGUCGAUUGAUUUGUUAGUUUUUGAUGACUACUUGUUACUUUUAAUAUGAAUAUGGCACAAAUCAUGCUAUUUGAUUUUCUAUUUGCAUAGGCAGCAUCAUAUGAAAGCUGAUGAAAUGUGGGAUACCAAAAUUAAGACCGAGUAAUAGUUGCAACUUUCUACUCUAAUUUCUGUAGAUUUUCUUUGUUUAUCAAUAUUUGGAUUGAAUUUCCAUGGCAUUAUCUUUUUCUUUUCUGGGUUGAAUUACCUCCGUUUUACAUUACAUGCCUUGGCAAUCUUGAGCUGAUUAUCAUCCUACAUCUCUGUCAUCAACUGUGAACCACAUACUUUCCCUUCACUUCACUCUCUAGUCUCUAUGUUGUGUUAAUACAAAUAUCUGAACAAAGCGUUGAAAAGUGUUCUACUACCACUUCCGGUGCGUUCAUGCAGCAUCCCUUUUGGGACUCCAUAGCAUUUGGGACUCCAUUUGUAUAAUAUAACUUGCUGAAGCAUUUAUUCAAUUGUGUGCAGGUCAGACAUUGGGACACAUGACUUUCAAGACUGUUUUUUGUAGCUGUGAAGUGUGAGAAUCUGAUGCAUGGGUUUGCAAUUUCAGUCACUCCAUCUACCGACUGAACUUUUGAAGUGCAUCUAUAUAGGAUAUGUAGUCCCAUCUAGUAUGGGUAUGUAAUCCUAACAUGACUCGCUUCUAAUUUGGAUCUUCCAUCAGACUUAUCAGUAGUUAUUAGUAUUCUCGUGUGUAACAAUAUUUCAACUGAAUAGAUUACCCUCUAUCUUAAUCGUUUACGCGAUCUCUUGUGGUUUUUCUUAACCGCAUCCAAAGCUUGAUGCUUACAAGCUUUGGAAUAUGGAGAAUGGCCUAAAUUUGCCUUUGCUACUUGUGAAUUCUUUCAUGCUUGUGUCUUUGCUAUUCCACAUUCUAUUGAAAGAUCCUUUAGACAUUGAGAACAGGUCAACUUGCGGAACAUGAUUCACCUUCGAUUAAUCAGGGAUGACACUAAGAAAUUGAUACUAGGAGAGAAAUUUGACAUAUGCUAAGUAUCAGAAGUCUCUCAAUAUACCCUGAAUUGAUUCCCUCAAAGAUUGAUGUGAAAUUGAAAGAAAGAACCAGUAUCAUACUCACUUCAAGCUAAUUUCUCCAAUCUAUGCUAGACUAGCACAUUCUUGCAGCACAAUUCCACACUCUAGCACACGACUUCACUGAUGAGAAACGCGCCAAGCAUAUCAUCAUUCCCCUAUAUACACACUUCAAUAUCCCAACAAGGCUGUUGUAUUGCCAAGUUGGGCUCUUUCAUUACGGACUUUGGUGGUGGUUCAACGGGGCCGUGACUGGAGUAAAGCCCAUAUGCAUUGCAAAUUGCUUUUCGGCUAUGAGACAUCUUACCCACAAGUUGAUUGGUUGGUGUUCAUUUCUGUUUACAUCCUUAAAUAUAUUAUGCAAAACUAUUAAGAUAAAGAUUUUAAACUAAAUAUUUCAAUACUAACCUCACAAUCAAGAAUUUUUGUGAAAAUAUAAUAUUAAACUAAAAUCAAUAAAAUCCAAACAACAACAAUUCUCUACAUCUUUACAUCAAAAAAAAAAAAACAAUUCUCUACAUCUUUUAAAUCAGAUUUGAGAAUAUACAAUGUGGUGGGAUUGUUCGUUCUUAUUUUUAUUUUAUUUAUGGCUUCAAAUGUAGUCUUUCAUAUAUAUAAUCGUAAAGAAGGAAGUCAAUAAAGAGAUCAAGGAGAAUAUAUAUAGGAUGUGGUUUGUGAAUAAAUAGAGGUAUGCGUUAAAUAUAUUGAUGAUAUAUUUUUAUAUUUUAUCAGAUUGAGGAAAAUAAAAUAAAGAAAAUAAAAACCAGAUUUUCUCUCAUAAUUUUGAGGGCAGAAUUAGAACGUUAAAGAUAAAAAAUAAGACGUGGGGUGAACUAAGCAUUUAGUGGGGUGGAAAUAGCCGCACCCUAAAAUAUUUGUAAAAAAUGUUCUAAAAGGUGCUAAAAACCAAGAAUAAGAAAACUCAUUAUUUGUAAAUUAAAGUGCAUAUCUUAAAUCAUUUUUGUCUAAGUAAAAGCAGGCAUGAAUCGAGAAUCUUAAACCACAAUAAUAUCAUACAACAAUUCUCAAAUAGAAAGAUCAUAGCCCCAUAAAUUACAAAAUUUGCUCACUCAUAUCCACCACUAAAGUAAUAUAUGUACAUUGCAUUUGUGUAGAGAACUACUAUAAAUUUAGGAAAAUUCAUACCUGUCCAAACUUUUUGACUGUUAUAUGUACACGUUUGUAAAACAUUGCCAUAUAAAGUGAACGUUGGACAUGCAUUAGAAAAACACAUUCUUCCACACUCUUGACACAAGUCGUCACUGACGAGAAACGCGCCAAGAAGCAUCAUCCCUCUAUAUAUAUGCCCAUCCAUGAACUUCAAUUCCAUAACCAAUCCAAAGCAUACACACCAAAGCUCCCAUUUCCCUCAUCUCCUAAUUCAGACUCUUCAUUUCAUAAGAAAACCCAUCAUCCAAAACCUCCAAAUCAACAGUCCAAACUAGAAGGAUGUCGAAAAUGUUUGCCCUUUCAAAGUUCGAGACUGCCUCAAUAUCAUGGUGGAAGAAGCAUGGAGAUGGAGACGACGACGGUGAUGAUGGAUACGACUAUGCCCCAGCGGCAUCAGCAUGCAUGGAAGGCGACAGCGAUGACGACGAUUCCGACUAUGAUUAUGCUCCGGCGGCCUCUACGGAAGGCGAUGACGACGACGAUGAUGGUGGUUAUGAUUAUGCUCCAGCUGCAUAAGAGCUGUGUAACUAGCAAUUCAGUCGAAAUUGCUUAUAUUAAUUCUUGAUAUGAGAUCGAGUGGCAUUUCUAUCACAGGGUUAUUUGCAAACCCCUAAGUAUUUUCUGACGGCCUUUGUAGCUCGUCAGAUGUUAUAGGGUAUUAUGUAUCAAUUUCUGAUCAGUAAACCUCUGAAUUAUGGUCCUCUACUACUCUAAUUUCGUUUUUUGUUUGAAACUCGAAGAUGCUAAUUAAGUAUUAACAUGAGCAAAUGUGGUUUGUGACACUGUUUCCUUUCAAUGAUCGAAGUCUGUAAUAGUUUCAAGCACACAAUAAGUCUCAUUUCCCUAUCUGCAAGUUUGCUUAAUUAGUGAAAUAGAAAUACUUUACAUGGAUGAUUUGAUCAUCACUUACUAAAUGAAACUACUUGACUAUCAAUUCGAGGAACCUGGAGAAACCAAAUUUGUUCAUAUGCUGUUGUUAUUUUCCAUCUUUCUUGUAAUGGCUCAGCUCACCCCGCACUUGCUUUAUCAUGAUAUUCUCUUCCUUUACCUUUUCAAUUAUAAUUCUAAUGUAUUUCUCUAAGUGGUCACUUUACUUAUCAUCUGCUAUAAACUAAAUUCAAACUUUCUGGGAUUGCUGACGAAGAGCUUAGUAUUCGACGAGCUACUAA